rnacentral:rRNA from 1 species
ACGGAGGAUCCAAGCGUUAUCCGGAUUCAUUGGGUUUAAAGGGUGCGCAGGCGGAAUGAUAAGUCAGUGGUGAAAUCCUACAGCUUAACUGUAGAACUGCCAUUGAUACUGUCGUUCUUGAGUACACUUGGAGUGGGCGGAAUGUGUCAUGUGGCGUUAAAAUGCUUAGAUAUGACACAGAACACCGAUCGCGAAGGCAGCUCACUAAGUUGUAUCUUACGCUCAGGCACGAAAGCGUGGAGAUCAAACAG